CCUACGGGGGGCUGCAGUGGGGAAUAUUGCACAAUGGGCGCAAGCCUGAUGCAGCCAUGCCGCGUGUGUGAAGAAGGCCUUCGGGUUGUAAAGCACUUUCAGCGGGGAGGAAGGCGGUGAGGUUAAUAACCUCAUCGAUUGACGUUACCCGCAGAAGAAGCACCGGCUAAAUCCGUGCCAGCAGCCGCGGUAAUGCGGAGGGUGCAAGCGUUAAUCGGAAUUACUGGGCGUAAAGCGCACGCAGGCGGUCUGUCAAGUCGGAUGUGAAAUCCCCGGGCUCAACCUGGGAACUGCAUUCGAAACUGGCAGGCUAGAGUCUUGUAGAGGGGGGUAGAAUUCCAGGUGUAGCGGUGAAAUGCGUAGAGAUCUGGAGGAAUACCGGUGGCGAAGGCGGCCCCCUGGACAAAGACUGACGCUCAGGUGCGAAAGCGUGGGGAGCAAACAGGAUUAGAUACCCGUGUAGUC
rnacentral:rRNA from 1 species